rnacentral:rRNA from 1 species
GACGAACGCUGGCGGCGCGCUUAACACAUGCAAGUCGAACGGAAAGGCCUGCUUUCCCUUGUGGAUUGCGGGUACUCGAGUGGCGAACGGGUGAGUAACACGUGAGUGAUCUGCCCCCAACUUGGGUAUAAGCCUGGGAAACUGGGUCUAAUUCCCGAUAGGACUGCAGGGUGGUGCCUGUGGUGGAAAACGAUUUUCUAGUGGUUGGGGAUGAGCUCGCGGCCUAUCAGCUUGUUGGUGGGGUAAUGGCCUACCAAGGCGGCGACGGGUAGCCGGCCUGGGAGAGUGGACGGCCACAUUGGGACGGAGAUACGGCCCAGACUCCUACGGGAGGCAGCAGUGGGGAAUAUGGCACAAUGGGCGGAAGCCUGAUGCAGCGACGCCGCGUGGGGGAUGACGGCCUUCGGGUUGUAAACUCCUUUCGACCGCGAGGAAGCCACCUGGUUGGAAGGGUGGUGACGGUAGUGGUAGAAGAAGCACCGGCUAACUACGUG